rnacentral:rRNA from 1 species
CGGUAAUUCCAGCUCCAAUAGCGUAUACUAAAGUUGUUGCAGUUAAAAAGCUCGUAGUUGGAUUUCUGCGGGGACGGAGCGGCCGGACGCAACUUGCGUCUCGAGCUAGCGCUUUCCCCGCAUCCUGCCGCGAACCGUGCUACCAUUAGCUUGGUGGCGCUGGGGAUCGGCUCGAUUACUUUGAGAAAAAUAGAGUGUUCAAAGCAGGCCACACGCCUUGAAUAAGUUAGCAUGGAAUAAUGACUAAGGACUUCGGUUCUAUUUUGUUGGUGUUCGGGACUGAAGUAAUGAUUGAUAGGGACAGUUGGGGCGGUCUGUAUUCCAAAGCGAGAGGUGAAGUUCUUAGACCUUCGGAAGACAAACAGCUGCGAAAGCGUUCCGCAAGGAUGUUCCCUUUGAUCAAGAACGAAAGUUGGGGGAUCGAAGACGAUCAGAUACCGUCGUAGUCUCAACUAUAAACUAUACCAGCUAGGGAUCGGUCAACGUUUAAUCAUUCGACUUGAUCGGCACCUUAUGAGAAAUCAAAGCAUCUGGGUUCCGGGGGGAGUAUGGUCGCAAGGCUGAAACUUAAAGGAAUUGACGGAAGGGCACCACCAGCCGUGGAGCCUGUGGCUUAAUUUGACUCAACACGGGAAAACUUACCAGGUCCAGACAUAGUAAGGAUUGACAGAUUGAUAGCUCUUUCUUGAUUCUGUGGGUGGUGGUGCAUGGCCGUUCUUAGUUGGUGGAGUGAUUUGUCUGGUUAAUUCCGUUAACGAACGAGACCCCAGCCUGCUAAAUAGCGCGGUUGAGCUUUGCUCGAUGCGAGCUUCUUAGAGGGACUAUGAUGCGCGAUAGCACAUGGAAGUUUGGGGCAAUAACAGGUCUGUGAUGCCCUUAGAUGUUCUGGGCCGCACACGGGCUACACUGGCGCCUGCAACGAGCAUAUCAGCUGGCCCGAGAGGGUCUUGGCUAAUCUUUUGAACCGGCGCCGUGCUUGGGAUUGACCAUUGCAAUUGUUGGUCAUGCAACGAGGAAUGCCUUGUAAACGCGAGUCAUCAGCUCGCAUUGAAUACGUCCCUGCCCUUUGUACACACCGCCCGUCGCUCCUACCGAUGAAUGUUCCGAUGAAAUUUUCGGAGAGCGCCAGAGAACGGGGCUCUGCCUUGCAGAUCUGGAGGCUCAAAGUCACUUAAAUCUGAACAUUUCGAGGAAGGAGAAGUCGUAACAAGGUAGCCGU